CAGUAGCCGCGGUAACACCAGCAGCCCAAGUGGUGGUCGCGAUUAUUGGGCCUAAAGCGCUCGUAGCCGGGCCGGUAAGUCCCUUGUGAAAUCGGACGGCCUAACCGUUCGGCGUGCAAGGGAUACUGUCGGUCUUGAGGCCGGGAGACGUCCGAGGUACUCCGGGUGUAGCAGUGAAAUGCGUAGAGAUCGGAAGGAACAUCUGUGGCGAAGGCGACUAUCUGGGCCAACACUGACACUGAGGCACGAAAGCGUGGGGAGCAAACAGGAUUAGAUACCCGAGUAGUCCCUGUCUCUUAUU
rnacentral:rRNA from 1 species